UGAUAUGUGGCUCAGUGUUAGAAUGUGUGCUUAGAAUGCACAAGGCCCUGGGUUUGAUUGCCAGCAUCAUAA
rnacentral:tRNA from 1 species